CAUUUAAGCAACUUUAACUCCAAGAGCAAGUUCGUGCGACCCAGUCGUGCAUUUUAUUUCUACAAGCAAUCAUUUAAAGAAGAUAUCGCCAUCUUAAAAUUUGUCGAAUAUCGAAAAUAAUUUUUUUUAGCAAGAAUCCAUGGGCGGCGGGCACCCCAGACAUAGUAACAAAAAUUCUCAGCUCUGCGAAAUAUUUCUAGGUUAAAUGUCUAUUUUGACCGGACUACAGCGAGCAACGAUUCGAAAACAAAGUAUACAAUUAAAUACUAGUUAACGCCACUUCCACUGGCCACCGAUGAUGCACCCAUAUCUUUGUAGAUCUUCCUUCCGUUGCGUCCGGCAUAUAUGGCUGGUUCGUGAUAUAUUGGGCCUUAGCUAAUUUUUUGCUGUGCUUUGUGAUGGCCCGGCCAUCAGGAGGUAAUUGUAUGCAAAAAAUACGUCAAUACUAUUCGAGCUCAUAGUCGCGCAUGCGCAUGCACAUACACCAUGCUUGUCGGAUAUGUCGAGUUGGAUGAAUAGCGUGACAUAUGGAUAGAUGGAUGGACACGGACAGGACACCUCCUCCUUUCUGCAAGUCUAGUCAGAAGGAAAACCAAAGUUAUGGGUAAAUACAUGCAAAUUCGUACCCUUUGGUGUAGACUGCGAAGUCGUGCGAAAAUGCUGAACAUACAACUUUUCUAUUAUCUGUUGUGAAAACGAUUGCGAACUUCAGUCACUGACGUGAUAGUGUGACGACAAUUAUUGUCUGAAGAAGUGAGGACAAGAGCGUUGAUAUUCAUUAGAGUUAGAGUGAUGAACUCUCUUUGUAUGAUACAUCCUUGAAGAGCAAAAGGUGAUGUUUUUGUUGAUUUAUUUGAACAAAUUCUCAACCAAUAUUUUCCGCUCUGACUAGUAGAAAUUAGAGCUUGUAAUAAUACUAAACUGUUUGAAAAAAUUUGGUUAAGAUUGUACCUAUAAUAAACGGGAGUUUAACAGUAACAGGUAGCU